rnacentral:rRNA from 1 species
CGGGUGAGUAACGCGUGAGGAACCUGCCUCAAAGAGGGGGACAACAGUUGGAAACGACUGCUAAUACCGCAUAAGCCCACAGCUCGGCAUCGAGCAGAGGGAAAAGGAGUGAUCCGCUUUGAGAUGGCCUCGCGUCCGAUUAGCUAGUUGGUGGGGUAAUGGCCCACCAAGGCGACGAUCGGUAGCCGGACUGAGAGGUUGAACGGCCACAUUGGGACUGAGACACGGCCCAG